AACGAACGCUGGCGGCAUGCCUAACACAUGCAAGUCGAACGAGACCUUCGGGUCUAUUGGCGCACGGGUGCGUAACGCGUGGGAACCUGCCCUUAGGUUCGGAAUAACUCCCCGAAAGGGGUGCUAAUACCGGAUAAUGUCUUCGGACCAAAGAUUUAUCGCCUUUGGAUGGGCCCGCGUUGGAUUAGCUAGUUGGUAGGGUAAAAGCCUACCAAGGCGACGAUCCAUAGCUGGUCUGAGAGGAUGAUCAGCCACACUGGGACUGAGACACGGCCCAGACUCCUACGGGAGGCAGCAGUGGGGAAUAUUGGACAAUGGGCGAAAGCCUGAUCCAGCAAUGCCGCGUGAGUGAUGAAGGCCUUAGGGUUGUAAAGCUCUUUUACCCGGGAUGAUAAUGACAGUACCGGGAGAAUAAGCUCCGACUAACUCCGUG
rnacentral:rRNA from 1 species